UUCUUUCCCCGUUUCUUCCCUGUCUCAGUUUUCUGUUUACUCCCCCUCUCCAACCCCAGAGAGAAAGCUCGUCUGGCUGAGAAAGGGAGACCCAUGAAUGACAAUUCCUCAAAAAAGAAGAGCAACCAGCAAAGACUAACCAAAGGCCUCAAACAGACAUCUGGAUUUGAGUGUUAAUGAACAUUUUGUCAGCAUAGACAUGGCCGCCCGUGUUCAGCACUUAGCCAUGGUGGCUAACAUACACGUCUUCACCCGACCACAUAACUUACCAUCCUGUGAGAAUGCAUGUAUCACACUGUUAGUCUUCUCUCAGAAUAUUUUGUCUGGGAAAAUACAAGACUGUAAUGUAAAACCUUUGAGUCCCUUCAGACCAUGCCAAAUGUCACUGUCACACAUAUUUUUAACAAGAGUGAAAUAUAAUUGGAGCGGUGAACUCCAAGGGGAUGCCCACGCUUCAUGGGGCUGUGGCAGAUAGACGGUUAGAGAUGUGGGAAUGGAUGGUUUCCAUACAGGUCCCAAGGAUCUGUUGCUUUGUGGAUGUGGUGAAUUGUGGCACUAACAUGCCCCAGACUUCACUUAAUGAAACAAAUUAACAUUUCAUUUUAUCGUUUUCUCAUUUGCUAAAUGCACUACGAAAGAAGAUGCUCAAGAGCAUGUGACUAACAGCUUAUUAAACUUGGGACAACAAGAAUAAUAAUGUCACAGAUGGGGUUACACUCAUCUUGCAUCAAAAACCAAAACCAUAAUACAUUUGAAUCCUGAGUGUUUUAUAUAUGUAGCUUAAGAAGCUUGUGUUAGCCUCCAGAGUUAAGUGCCGGACACUGACAGCCAUUUUUAUGCUAAUAUAAUGUUUGCAAUCCCAAUGUUGGUGGAAGACUUUGGACAUUUGUCAGUCCUAUGAUUUUCUGAGGAAAUGUUCAACUCGAGUCUCCUGGCUGA